rnacentral:rRNA from 1 species
GAUGAACGCUGGCGGCGUGCCUAAUACAUGCAAGUCGAGCGAACAGACGAGGAGCUUGCUCCUCUGACGUUAGCGGCGGACGGGUGAGUAACACGUGGAUAACCUUCCUAUAAGACUGGGAUAACUUCGGGAAACCGGAGCUAAUACCGGAUAAUAUAUUGAACCGCAUGGUUCAAUAGUGAAAGACGGUUUUGCUGUCUCUUAUAGAUGGAUCCGCGCCGCAUUAGCUAGUUGGUAAGGUAACGGCUUACCAAGGCAACGAUGCGUAGCCGACCUGAGAGGGUGAUCGGCCACACUGGAACUGAGACACGGUCCAGACUCCUAAGGGAAGCAGCAGUAGGGAAUCUUCCGCAAUGGGCGAAAACCUUACGGAGCAACGCCGCGUGAGGGAUGAAGGUCUUCGGAUCGUAAAACUCUGUUAUUAGGGAAGAACAAAUGUGUAAGUAACUAUGCACGUCUUGACGGUACCUAAUCAGAAAGCCACGGCUAACUACGUG